CCCACAGCUCUUUAGCAGACUCACAGUAGCUGUAUGCAUCCAGAAUAGCCGGCUCAAGGGACGCAUGGAGCACUGACAUCACCAACAUGUCCUCUUGAUGCCACUUCUCUUCUGCCUUGCUUGCCGCUUCAUCUUCAGCCUCUCCUUGGGUGAUGAGCUUUGGAGCUUCUCCUGGUGUGAUGUGCUUCCAAAGCCCCUUGCUUCCCACUGUGGUUCUCACCAUCCGAGACCACACCAAGUAGUUGUUUCCCUUGAAACAAACCGCCACCUUCAUGUUCAUGUUCAUCCCACUCUCCAUGUUGAAUGUAGAACCCUUUAGACUUCAAUAACUUUCUCUUGAGGUAACUGUCUUGAGCGAACACUAGCAGCUUCAAACAACCAAUAUAACUCAGAAAGACUACCCAGAACCGCUUAAGAACACAAGAACACCAAACUGUUUCUUCAAAGUUUCAACCUUGAAUCUUCAAAGAACCCAACGAAACCAAGUUCUCUAGGAACCUGGCUCUGAUACCAUAUCACUUUUAGGAUUGAGUAGAGUAAUCUGAGUGAAUAAGAAAGACUAGAAGUGAUUUAGAAGAGAUUUGAGUAUAAAAUGAGAUUAAGAGUCUAGUAUAGAACCAUUGAGAGACAAAGAGACUAAGAGAGACUCAUAACUUUCUUACUUUGAUUAAUGACAUGAGUUUACAAUAUAUAGAGAGGCGACAUUAGAGACUAGGGUUUAGGAAACUACACUAUUACAAGGGAUAAGCUUUUGCUUUAAUUCAAAUGAUCCAAUAAGCUUCCUCCUUAAGGAUAAGGUUCCUUUUGCUUUAUGCCAACCGCGGACAGGCUGUCAUGUGCGCUCCCUUCUUCCUUUUGCAACAGUCUGAUCAGAUAAGGUUAAGCAAGGCUUCUUCUCAACACACAAAGUUACCUAAGUAACUUUGGUUCACCGAGGUCAAGUUACCUUGCCCAAUCUGUACGGCCUAGUACGGCUUCUGUACGGCCUUGCCCAAUCCUCUCCUAACUCCAUUUCCCUUAGCUCCUCAAGUCAUCUCUCCUCAUAUACUGAACUCAUCUUAACACUCAGUGCUUCCAUUGCAGCCCAUCCAUACUCCUUGAUCAGGUGAGCCGUUGAGAUACAUCAAGAUCCUCUCCACCAUGCGCCAAUGAUGUUCCUUAGGCACUUGCAUGUGUUGACUCACCUGAUUCACAGCAAAACAAAUGUCAGGUCUAGUUAUAGUGAGGUAAAUCAAUUUGCCAACUAGUUUUCUAUAGAGUUUAGGAUCCUGAUAAGGUUUGCUGUCUUCAAUCUCCCCCUCUCGUGGGACUUUAAGAUCUAUGAGUCCCAAUCUAAUGUGAAUGGACUCCAUAGUCUUUUGUCUUGCUGCCUUGGUGAACACAUCAGCCAACUGAUCUUCACUUCUCGUAUAGCAAGGUAAGAUCACUCCAAGCACAAUCAUCUGUCUCACCUUGUGGCAAUCAACCUCAAUGUGCUUGGUUCUCUCAUGGAACACCGAGUUGGAUGCAAUGUGAAUGGCAGCUUGAUUGUCACAAUGCAUUGUCAUUGGAGUGGCUUGAUCAAUCUCCAAGUGCUUCAAGAUGCCUUUGAUCCAUACCAACUCGUUUGUAAGUUUCAGCAUGGCUCUAUACUCAGCUUCAGCACUUGAACAUGACACCACCUUCUGCUUCUUGCUUUUCCAAGUCACCAAGUUGCCUCCAAUGAAUGUGCAAUAGCCGGUUGUUGAUCUCCUGUCGGCUCUAUCUCCUGCCCAAUCAGCAUCACAAUAGCCCACCACUUCUGUGCUUCCAUUGCACCCCAUCCAUACUCCUUGAUCCGGCGAGCCAUUUAGAUACAUCAGCAGUCUCUCCACCAUACGCCAGUGAUGUUCCUUGGGAAGCUGCAUGUGUUGGCUCACCUGAUUCACAGCAAAACAUAUAUCAGGCCUUGUAAUGGUAAGGUAAAUCAAUUUGCCAACAAGUGUUCUAUAGAGUUUAGGAUCAUGAAAUGGCUUGCUGUCUUCAAUCUCCCCCUCUCUUGGUACUUUGUAGCCAUCCUCCAUUGGCAUCCUUGCUGUCUUGCCUCCAUAAGCACCUGCACCUUUCAAAAGAUCAAGUGUAUACUUCCUUUGGGACAUGAACAAACCUUCCUUGGAUCUACAUAUCUCAAUUCCAAGAAAGUAUUUCAUUUCUCCCAAGUCUUUGAUUUCAAACAUAGACUUUAGAAACUCCUUGGUUGCUUUGAUACCUUCCUUAUCACUCCCAGUGAUAAUGAUAUCAUCAACAUACACAAGGAGUGCAAUCAUACCUGAGGGAGUCGUGAGUGUGAAGAGGGUGUGAUCUAGUUCAGACUUCUUGAAGCCUCGGCCAUUCAGAGUGUAAAGAGAGUGUGAUCCAACUCUGACUUCUUGAAGCCUCGGCCGUUUAAAGUUGUGCUCAACUUGUUAUACCAAGCUCUUGGUGAUUGCUUCAACCCAUAAAUAGCUUUCUUUAGCCUCAGUACAUUCCCUCUCUUCACUAGAUGUUCCAGACCUGAUGGAGGAUACAUAUAGACUUCAUCCUCAAGUUCUCCUUGUAGAAAUGCAUUCUUUACAUCCAUUUGCCAUAAUCCCCAUCCAAGGUUCACAGCCAAGCUUAAAAUAAUCCUAAUGGUGUGUAGCUUGGCCACUGGUGCAAAUGUUUCAAUGUAAUCCUCUCCAUAUGUCUGAGUGAACCCUCUUGCUACUAGUCUAGUCUUCUUCCUCUCAAUCGACCCAUCAGCCUUGUACUUGAUUGUAAAGAUCCAUCUACUAGACACAGCUUUCUUCCCUUUUGGUAGUUCACUCUCAUACCAUGUAUCAUUCUUUAUCAUAGCUCCUGCCUCAGCUCCUACUGAUUCCUUCCAUUCCUUAUCCUCCAUUGCCUCUUCAUAGCUCCUUGGAAUGUGAUUCUCAUCCAAGUUUACCAUGAAUGCGCAAUGUGCUUCUGGAUAUUGAGCAAACGAACACACGGCCUGAGUAGGAUGCUUCACAGCUUGGGCAUUGUAGUACACUCUUGUGUUUACCCAACUGGAAGGAUCCUUUCUCAGCCUUGUACUUCUUCUCAAUACUGGCCCUUCUUGCGCCAUCUCUUGUUCUUCUUCUUGUGGCAGCACACUUGUUUCAGAUCUUUCUUCUCCUAGCUGACUUGCUUCAGCUCCUUCUUCCCUUAGCUGACUCUCUUCAGCUCCUUCUUCUUGAUCAUUUGAUUCCACAGCUUGAUCAUGAGAGCCAGAACUCUCUUCUCUAGUUCUUGUUUCAUUCCCCCCCUCAUGCUCAAGGUUGGAAGUCUGAUGAUCCGGGACUGUGGUAGUACUUCUCCCCUCUUGAUGUCCUUGAUUCAUGUUGAUUCCAAGGCCUUCUAGGAUAAUCCUCAAGGUUUCAGCUCUAUCAGAGGUAAGAUCCUUCAAGUCUUCUUGAAUCUGUUCCUCAUAAUAUCCUUUCUCUUCAACAAACUUCACUUCUCUAGAUACUAACACUCUCCUUGUGUUAGGAUCAUAGCACUUGUAUCCUUUCUGACUUGAUGAGUAUCCAAUGAACAUUGCCUUUGAACUCUUAGCUUCUAGCUUGUUUCUUAUCUCUCCAGGCACCAUCACAAAACACAAACACCCAAAGACCUUCAUAUGCUCGAGAGAAGGCUUGUACUGAUUCAGUACCUCAAAUGGUGAUUGUCCUUGAAGGAUCAGAGUUGGUGUCCUGUUGAUGAGAUAACACGCCGUAGCAACAGCAUCACUCCAAAACUUCUUAGGCACAUUGGAUUGAAACAUCAUGGACCUGGCUACUUCCAUCAAAUGCCUGUUCUUCCUCUCAGCCACACCAUUCUGUUGUGGGGUAUAGGGACAGCUUGUCUGAUGAAGGAUUCCAUGCUGAGAUAGGUGUAGUUUGAAUGCUUGUCCCGUGUACUCUCCUCCAUUAUCUGACCUGAAAAUCUUUAUCUUGGCAUUGUAAUGGUUAGUCACAUAGGAUUGAAAGUUUUUAAAUGCAUCAAGUACCCUAUCUUUGGUUGGAAUUAAGGUUAACCAGGUGUAUUUGGAUUUUUCAUCAAUGAAAGUUACAUAAUACUUAUGGUUUUCUCUAGAUAGGCAGGGUGCAGUCCAAACAUCAGAAUGAAUAAGAUCAAAACAUUUUUCAUAAACAGUAGUAGACUUGGUAAAGACAGUUCUACAAUGCUUGCCUAAAAUGCAAGCUUCACACUCAUUAUUCUCAAAGGAAACACCUGGCAACAUCAGUUUUAAAGCCUUAUUAUGAGGGUGUCCUAAUCUAGCAUGCCACAAUGCAUUUUUACUUAAACCAGAACUAGAAACAGAAGUAAACGAGCAGCUAUAUCUAGAAACAGGAGUGAGAUCUUCAAGUAAAUAUAGCUCUCCUUUAGUCACUCCCUUUCCGAUCAUCUUGCUGCUUUUAAUAUCCUGAAACUUAACAUCAUUAGGACUGAAUAUAACAUUGCAUUGCAAAUCAGUAGCACACUUCUUAACAGAUAACAAGUUUGAUGUGAAUUCAGGCAUAUAAAAAGCUUUAGUUUCCUUAUUAAACAGUUUAAGACUUCCUAUUCCUCUAAUAGGAAUCUUAUCUCCAUUAGCAAUCAUUACAUUUCCAUUCAUUGGCACAAUGUUUUUAAUCAAGCUAGUAUCACUUAUCAUAUGAUGAGAUGCACCUGAAUCAAUCACUAAUGGCUUAAUGUCAUGAGAACUAGCAAUAUGCGCAAGGAUACUAGAUGGUUUGAAUGCAUGAUCAUUUCUAGCAAGGUUUGCAAUCCUAGAUUGAUUUACCAUUUCUAUCAAGCUCUCAUGCAUCCUAUCAGUUCUAGUUAGAUUCUCAUAGUUCUCUACCAUCCUAGCACCAAAAGAAUACCCAAAGAUGUUACCAUUCUCCUUGAACAUCUUAAUGAGAGCAUCAAGGUCGGAUCUCCUUAGAUACUCUUGGUCAUUGUUCCCACGGUUGCUUGGUGCCCCGGUGUAGGCAGUAAGAGACUUCCCAUCCCCUGCCUCACGCCCAUCUAUCUCCUUUCCUUUGCUUGUACCAGCUCCACCCGUUCCAUCUGAUGCAUUAGCCCUUGCUUCACGGUCCUUCAUGAACUUUGCCGGCUUGAGGUGUGGGUGAAGGAUCCAGCAUUGGCUCUUCUUGUGGCCAUGCUUCUUGCAGUGAUCACAGUUCCCAUUGAACCUCCUCUCCUCAAACUUCCCAUGCGCAGCAACCUUGUUUGCUUGCGGAGCUUCACUCCCCUCCUCUUGAGUUGCUUGGCUUGCAAGGGAAAGGUCUCCCUUCUUUGUAAACAGCCCAAUGGAGCCUUGCUCCUUCUGAAUCCGUGCACACACAUCCUCAAGAUCAGGUAGAUUGUCCUCCCUAAGCAGGUGCUGGAUGAGACCGUUGUAAGCCGGGUUCAGCGUGAGGAGUAGCCCAAAGACCUUGUCUUGCUCUCUCCUCUUGUUAAGCUCAUCAGCAUCCGUUGUGCUUGGCCUAAGCAUCUCCAUCUCGGACCAGAGACUCCUGAAUCUCCCUAGAUGCUUGGUGAACUCCAUGUCUUCUUGUACAAGGUUGUUGAUGGCUUGCUUCACUUCAAACACUCGGCUUAGGUUUGAAGUGUUGCCAUACACCUUCUUCAAGGUAUCCCACAGCUCUUUAGCAGACUCACAGUAGCUGUAUGCAUCCAGAAUAGCCGGCUCAAGGGACGCAUGGAGCACUGACAUCACCAACAUGUCCUCUUGAUGCCACUUCUCUUCUGCCUUGCUUGCCGCUUCAUCUUCAGCCUCUCCUUGGGUGAUGAGCUUUGGAGCUUCUCCUGGUGUGAUGUGCUUCCAAAGCCCCUUGCUUCCCACUGUGGUUCUCACCAUCCGAGACCACACCAAGUAGUUGUUUCCCUUGAAACAAACCGCCACCUUCAUGUUCAUGUUCAUCCCACUCUCCAUGUUGAAUGUAGAACCCUUUAGACUUCAAUAACUUUCUCUUGAGGUAACUGUCUUGAGCGAACACUAGCAGCUUCAAACAACCAAUAUAACUCAGAAAGACUACCCAGAACCGCUUAAGAACACAAGAACACCAAACUGUUUCUUCAAAGUUUCAACCUUGAAUCUUCAAAGAACCCAACGAAACCAAGUUCUCUAGGAACCUGGCUCUGAUACCAUAUCACUUUUAGGAUUGAGUAGAGUAAUCUGAGUGAAUAAGAAAGACUAGAAGUGAUUUAGAAGAGAUUUGAGUAUAAAAUGAGAUUAAGAGUCUAGUAUAGAACCAUUGAGAGACAAAGAGACUAAGAGAGACUCAUAACUUUCUUACUUUGAUUAAUGACAUGAGUUUACAAUAUAUAGAGAGGCGACAUUAGAGACUAGGGUUUAGGAAACUACACUAUUACAAGGGAUAAGCUUUUGCUUUAAUUCAAAUGAUCCAAUAAGCUUCCUCCUUAAGGAUAAGGUUCCUUUUGCUUUAUGCCAACCGCGGACAGGCUGUCAUGUGCGCUCCCUUCUUCCUUUUGCAACAGUCUGAUCAGAUAAGGUUAAGCAAGGCUUCUUCUCAACACACAAAGUUACCUAAGUAACUUUGGUUCACCGAGGUCAAGUUACCUUGCCCAAUCUGUACGGCCUAGUACGGCUUCUGUACGGCCUUGCCCAAUCCUCUCCUAACUCCAUUUCCCUUAGCUCCUCAAGUCAUCUCUCCUCAUAUACUGAACUCAUCUUAACACUCCCCCUCAAGCUUAGCUUUGUGAAAGUCUAAGCUU
rnacentral:lncRNA from 1 species